AUUGAACGCUGGCGGCAUGCCUUACACAUGCAAGUCGAACGGCAGCACGGGUGCUUGCACCUGGUGGCGAGUGGCGAACGGGUGAGUAAUACAUCGGCACCUGUCCUUUCGUGGGGGAUAGCCCGGCGAAAGCCGGAUUAAUACCGCAUACGCUCUACGGAUGAAAGCGGGGGCCCUUCGUCCCCCGCCCUUUAGGGUUGGCCGAUGGCUGAUUAGGUAGUUGGUGGGGUAAAGGCCUACCAAGGCGACGAUCAGUAGCUGGUCUGAGAGGACGACCAGCCACACUGGGACUGAGACACGGCCCAGACUCCUACGGGAGGCAGCAGUGGGGAAUUUUGGACAAUGGGCGAAAGCCUGAUCCAGCAAUGCCGCGUGUGUGAAGAAGGCCUUCGGGUUGUAAAGCACUUUUGUCCGGAAAGAAAAGCUUGGCCCUAAUACGGUCGGGGGAUGACGGUACCGGAAGAAUAAGCACCGGCUAACUACGUG
rnacentral:rRNA from 1 species